rnacentral:rRNA from 1 species
CAGUCGCCGCGGUAAUACGGAGGGGGCUAGCGUUAUUCGGAAUUACUGGGCGUAAAGCGCACGUAGGCGGCUUCGCAAGUCAGAGGUGAAAGCCUGGGGCUCAACUCCAGAAUUGCCUUUGAGACUGCGUCGCUCGAAUCCGGGAGAGGUGAGUGGAAUUCCGAGUGUAGAGGUGAAAUUCGUAGAUAUUCGGAAGAACACCAGUGGCGAAGGCGGCUCACUGGACCGGUAUUGACGCUGAGGUGCGAAAGCGUGGGGAGCAAACAGGAUUAGAUACCCGGGUAGUCCCUGUCUCUUAUAC